CCCUCUGAUUGCACCUCUGAUCUUAAACUUCAGACUUAUAAAAUCUGUUAUUUAUUUAAUCACCUCCUGCUUUCAGGUACAUCUGCUGAAACUUAUAAUUGUUUUCAACUGGAAGACUGGAAGACAGUCCACAUCAGCUUCUUUUUGCCGGUUUCAAAGGAAAACAUCCAGCGGCAUCUCUGCUGACCUGCAGCAAAACAUUCAGGUGUUAUACCAAGAUGGGGAUUGCUUCAGGAAAACAUAGCAGCUGUUCAGAGGACAACAUGAGGGAUUCAUAUCUGUACAAAAAUGGAGAUGGAGAAGAAAGAAGUGAAGAAUGUGUAUCUUCAUAAUCCACCGUCUGCUUCCUCCAUCUACAAGGUCAAACAGCAACAUGGGAAAUCAUGUAGGUCCCUGGAAAUGAAGCUCAUCUCUUCACACAUUUCAAUUCAACCCAAUUCAAAAAUACUUUUUUGAUUCCAAACGGAAAUUAAAUAUUAAAUGUAAUAAUAUGAUUUAAUUUAUUAAUGUAGUAAUUCAUACAUCAUUGCACUCUUUUUAUUUUUUAACAUAUAGGUAAUGUUAAUGACAGAUGUUUUUUUUUAGUCUUUUGUUUGUUUUUAUACUAUUAAGUCCUGAAAUAAAUGUGCUGCAUCUGUUGACUUGCUGCUUAUCCCUGUGGCCCGUGGUGCAGUGCUGCAUCUCUGGUCAGUUGGUAGUCUGAGAUGAAGCACUGUAGCUCGGGACGGAGGACAGACAGAGCUGUUGAGGUACGUCUGUAACAAGGAAGAAGCAUCUAUCAAGAUUAGCAGGACUGUGACAUGUUUCUCUAGAGAAGAAAGGAGAAAGUGAAUCUGGCACCCAUGGAGUUAUAACGGAUAUUUUUGUCAACCAUUCUGUAAUUUUUUUCUGUUUUGUAUUGCUCCUUUCUUAUUUUAUGAACUCCAGCUGAGUUCAUAAAAUACUCAGCUUUUCUUUUCUUUUUUUCCCCCCAAAAGUAGAAUUUUGAACAGUCACUCUUUUCAGCUUGUUUUUCCUUUACCCUUUUCUCUGGGGUCCAGUUUUCCCAGGAAUCCCUUCACUCAUGAGAAAGGGGGAUUCCUGGAAAUACUGAUCUUGGGGGCGAGGCUUCUCACCAUGUCCAACAUGGCAUGAAUAGAGUAGAAGGAAUUAAUGUGUGUGCUCUUCAGCUGAACUCCUAAAAAAGAGUUGACAGCUGUCCGUCCAUCCAUUUGCUGUACACCCUUGUCCCUUACUGGGGCUGGGAGGGGUGCUGGUGCUGCUCUCCAGUGAACGUUUCGGGCGAGAGGCGGGGGUCACCUGAAAAGGUCGCCAGUCGAGUUGACAGCUGUGAAAUAUCUUUAAAAAGACAAAGUGAUUUACGCUCCUCAUGUUUUACUUGCAUAUCAUUUCAAAUUGUACAUCUAAUGUAUUUGGUUGUCUGACAGAAUAAAGAAAAUAGUUAAAAUAAUG